UGUUUUGUGGCAUAGAUGAUUAAAGCGCCAAACUAGCGAUGCGGUGUCGUGGGUUCGAAUCCCAUCUAAACAA
rnacentral:tRNA from 1 species